CGAGGUGGAGCAAAUCCCUAAAAGCCAUCCCAGUUCGGAUUGCAGGCUGCAACCCGCCUGUAUGAAGUUGGAAUCGCUAGUAAUCGCGGAUCAGCAUGCCGCGGUGAAUACGUUCCCGGGCCUUGUACACACCGCCCGUCACACCAUGAGAGUCGGGAACACCCGAAGUCCGUAGCCUAACCGCAAGGGGGGCGCGGCCGAAGGUGGGUUCGAUAAUUGGGGUGAAGUCGUAACAAGGUACC
rnacentral:rRNA from 1 species